rnacentral:rRNA from 1 species
AGAGUUUGAUCCUGGCUCAGGACGAACGUUGGCGGCGUGCUUAAUACAUGCAAGUCAACUGAAGCACCGGUAGUAAUACUGGUGUGGAGGUGGCGCACGGGUGAGUGACACGUAGGUAAUCUACCUUCAGGUCUGACAUAACCCCGAGAAAUCGGGGCUAAUAGCAGAUGAUGCAGCGGCUUGACAUCAAGACAGUUGUUAAAGCUUCGGCGCCUGAAGAUGAGCCUGCGUCUGAUUAGCUAGUUGGCGGAGUAACAGCCCACCAAGGCUACGAUCAGUAGCUGGUCUGAGAGGAUGAUCAGCCACACUGGAACUGAGACACGGUCCAGACUCCUACGGGAGGCAGCAGUAAGGAAUAUUGCUCAAUGGGAGAAAUCCUGAAGCAGCAACGCCGCGUGAAGGAUGAAGGGCUUUUGCUUGUAAACUUCUGUAGUGAGGGAAAAAACCUCCAUUCUAUGGAGUCUGAUGGUACCUCAAAAGUAAGCCCCGGCUAACUACGUGCCAGCAGCCGCGGUAAUACGAAGGGGGCUAGCGUUGUUCGGAAUUACUGGGCGUAAAGCGCGCGUAGGCGGUUUUGCAAGCCAGAGGUGAAAUGCCUGAGCUCAACUUAGGAAUUGCCUUUGGGACUGCGAGGCUUUGAGGACUGGAGAGGUGAGUGGAAUUCCCAGUGUAGAGGUGAAAUUCGUAGAUAUUGGGAAGAACACCAGUGGCGAAGGCGGCUCACUGGCCAGUUUCUGACGCUGCAGCGCGAAAGCGUGGGGAUCAAACAGGAUUAGAUACCCUGGUAGUCCACGCUGUAAACGAUGAGUGCUAGGCGUCGGCACGCUUGCGUGUCGGUGCCGCAGCUAACGCGUGAAGCACUCCGCCUGGGGAGUACGGUCGCAAGAUUAAAACUCAAAGGAAUUGACGGGGGCCCGCACAAGCGGUGGAGCAUGUGGUUUAAUUCGACGCAACGCGCAGAACCUUACCAGCCCUUGACAUGCCGUGCUAUCUCCAGAGAUGGGGAGUUCCAGCAAUGGACGCGGACACAGGUGCUGCAUGGCUGUCGUCAGCUCGUGUUGUGAGAUGUUGGGUUAAGUCCCGCAACGAGCGCAACCCUUGCCUUCAGUUGCCAUCAUUUAGUUGGGCACUCUGGAGGGACUGCCGGCGGUAAGCCGGAGGAAGGUGGGGAUGACGUCAAGUCCUCAUGGCCCUUACGGGCUGGGCUACACACGUGCUACAAUGGUGGCGACAGAGGGCGCAGGCGAGAGCGCAAGCUUUAGCAAAUCCUCAAAAGCCAUCUCAGUUCAGAUUGCGCUCUGCAACUCGGGCGCAUGAAGGUGGAAUCGCUAGUAAUCGCAGAACAGCAGGCUGCGGUGAAUACGUUCCCGGGCCUUGUACACACCGCCCGUCACACCAUGGGAGUUGGUUUGACCUGAAGACGGUGCGCUAACCCGCAAGGGAGGCAGCCGGCCACGGUCAGGUCAGCGACUGGGGUGAAGUCGUAACAAGGUAACC